UAAGGAAUAUUGCUCAAUGGGAGAAAUCCUGAAGCAGCAACGCCGCGUGGAGGAUGAAGGGUCUAUGACUUGUAAACUCCUGUAAAGAAGGAAAAAAUUCCCAUUUGAUGGGAGAUGAUGGUACUUCUGGAGUAAGCCCCGGCUAACUACGUGCCAGCAGCCGCGGUAAUACGUAGGGGGCAAGCGUUGUCCGGAUUUACUGGGCGUAAAGGGAGCGUAGGCGGACUUUUAAGUGAGAUGUGAAAUACCCGGGCUCAACCUGGGUGCUGCAUAUCAAACUGGAAGUCUAGAGUGCAGGAGAGGAGAGUGGAAUUCCUAGUGUAGCGGUGAAAUGCGUAGAGAUUAGGAAGAACACCAGUGGCGAAGGCGACUCUCUGGACUGUAACUGACGCUGAGGCUCGAAAGCGUGGGGAGCAAACA
rnacentral:rRNA from 1 species